rnacentral:lncRNA from 1 species
GCGUAUGUGUGUGUUGUGUUAUGUUUCCUCCAUAUGAAAUUCUUUUCCUGGAUUUGUGAUCCCUGUGGUAUAUUAAGAACCUCUCCGAUUGAAUCUCAGGGAGGACCCGGAAGUAUGUAUGACAACCGUGUGAGAAGAAGGUCCCAAAUCCCUCUCUUAAAACCUUGGGAUUGUGCUUGAGACUCAGCCCCGAUGUGUUCCUUGGUAAUUCACUCGCCUGGUUUACCCACACUGUAUGCUCCCCCUACCUGCCCCUACCUUGUCAUAAGUGCUGAGGAUUGAACCCAUGGCCUUGUGCAUGUCAGGUGCUGGGAACAUUACAUCUUCAUGUCCCAGGGACAAGAAAAUUAAAUAUACUCGUUGUUCAGUAGCUACUGAGACUGAUGGGAGGCAGAGCUGUGGAUUCAUGCGACCAAUGGUGACUGGUCUGGCUGGCCAUAUUACUUUCUCUUUAUUUUAUCAAGUACAGACAUGGCGCCUGCCUAGAGUGGUCAUACGAGUGUCCAAUCUCAAGGGAACAAUCAGGGGCUGGCUUGCAAGGCCACCUGUUCCCAUUUUUUAUUGCUCUUGUUGCAUGUGUAUAUGUGACAUAUGUGCAUGUAUGUUCAUGUGUUCGUGGGUACACAUUGUAUGCGGGUGUGUGUGCAUAUGUCUUCUCUGCAUGGUCAUUGAAGAAAUUAAAACAGGAAGACUCG